UGGCUCUAGGUAAAUGAAUUGGAU
rnacentral:piRNA from 1 species